rnacentral:rRNA from 1 species
GAUGAACGCUGGCGGCGUGCUUAACACAUGCAAGUCGAACGGUGAAGGCGGAGCUUGCUCUGCUGGAUCAGUGGCGAACGGGUGAGUAACACGUGAGCAAUCUGCCCCUGACUCUGGGAUAAGCGCUGGAAACGGCGUCUAAUACUGGAUACGAGCUGCGAAGGCAUCUUCAGCAGCUGGGAAGAAUUUCGGUCAGGGAUGAGCUCGCGGCCUAUCAGCUUGUUGGUGAGGUAAUGGCUCACCAAGGCGUCGACGGGUAGCCGGCCUGAGAGGGUGACCGGCCACACUGGGACUGAGAAACGGCCCAGACUCGUAAGGGAGGCAGAAGUGGGGAAAAGUGCAAAAGGGGCGAAAGACGGAUGCAGCAACGUCGCGUGAGGGACGACGGCCUUAGGGUGGUAAACCGCUUUUAGCAGGGAAGAAGCGAAAGUGACGGUACCUGCAGAAAAAGCGCCGGCUAACUACGUG